GGGAUGUGACAGUUUUAUCGGGGGUUUCCGCUUUUGCAUCUUCCUCAUUUUCUCUUGCUGCUGCCAUAUAGGAAGUGCCUUUCACCUCCCAAAGUGAUUCUGAGGCCUCCCCAGCCAUGUGGAACUUUCCAGUGAAGGUGCUGCAUUGAUAACAACUUUAGCCUCUCCAGUGUUCACAAUGGAAGGCCAGGAGAGAGAUUAUCCACAGCCCCGGGGGAAUUCUGAAGAUGGUGGGAAUGGGGUGGACCCCUGGGGCCCCAGCCGUCAGUGAGCAGCCCUGCAGAUUUAACCCCAAUAAUAUUUGAAGUCCUACUGAAGUGCCAUGUCAAAGGCAUUACAGUAGCUCUGAAGAAAAAGUAAAAUACCUUCUGAAACAACUCUGGGAAGAAGCUCACCACCCGGCCACGAUACCCACUUCUUGCUGCCAAGAAGCUUCUAGCUACACGGUUUUUCCUUCCACCCCACAGUGCAGUGGAAACAAGACCCAAGCUCUUCUCAAGGAGUAAGCACAGGACAAGUUUCCUGCUAAGUGGUCCUAAGUCAACAAGGCCAUCUGAUAGGAAUUUGAGGAGUAGUGAAUUUUAUAGGAAUAGAGGGGAAAGGACUCUUUUUCCAUGUAGGCUUCUCUUGGAGUGGGGAGAUUAGGAAAUCUCCAUGAUAUAAAAUGAUGAAAGUUCGAAUCAUUGUCACCCUACCGGAAAGACUCCAAUUUGACCUUAGUGCUUAAUCCCUUUAGUUUGAAGUGUAGCUUAAAAGUAUUUAAAUAAAAUACAGCUGCCCCCAAACUGUGAGACUGUGAGUGGGAAGGGACAUGACUGUGUACUUGGAGACCUCAGGUAUGUUGGGGGUCGGGGGCAGCCACCGGGACGGUUAGAAAACCCAAAUGAGUCUUCUAACACUCAUUUACCCAAUUUAAAGAGAACAUUUUGACAAUGUUGUGCAAAUUUUUUUGCUGCCCACUUUUAGAAACUAUACUAGGACAAUGUGGGUGGUAUAUCGGAUUAUGUACACGAAACAUGUGAAGUAAAUAGGGUUGUGCCAUUUCUAAACAUCCAAAUACUGAGGUACAAAGAGAUGGAAUGAGUGUCUCAUGAUCCCACAGCUUAUCGGUGUUAAAGUUUAAAUGAAGGGGGGAAAAGGCAAUAGAUCUGAGAAACUUCUAGUUCAUAGGUCUCACAUGUCAUUGGUAAAGCGUGUUUAAGCGGGGAAAAAUGAUGAUGCUUUCAGUUGGAUUCUUAAUGAAAACUUGUUACAUUCCUUUACUUUUCUCCAGAGACAGCCCAGGCGACAGUUUGCACUUCGCAUUCCCUAGGGUAUCCAGUCACUGCGUGUUCUCUGCCCUCUUUCAGGACACAGAUGAAAUCCAUCUUCUGUCUUUCAUGGGAGUGGUGGGAGGACACGGAGGUGGGGGCGGAAUCAAGUUUAAAUACUAAGAAAAUGAAAACAGAUGCGUGGAGAGAAGGCGAUGCUGGUGGGAAUGAAGGCCCGGAAGCCGUUCUCAGUCCUGGCUGCGUCUGCAUGGCGCUCCUCCCCAAAACCCUCCUCCCGAGCCUCCGGGAGGGGCUGGCCUCCGCGGGCAUCGCCAGCAGGGAACCGCUCCUCCCUCCGCGGAAAACCCUGCUCGGCAGUCCCAGCAUGCCUUUUUCAAUACACUGUUUGCAAUUAAUUGGGAGAACCAGAGCUGGGAGAAUUAGGAGACAGACCAGUCCCUGAAACACGUGAGGAGAAAAGUGCAGGGCCUUGUCUGUUUGCAGGCACGGAGAACAGGUGCCAAGGGCAGCGGCUCCUUGGCUGGCCCGCGGGUCCAGGGGACGUGAGCAGACCAGGCCGGUGGCGGGUGGCCGGCCUGGGCGGGAGGCCGCUGUUUGUGGAGGGCCGGCCUGCCAGCCCCCGGACGCCAGGGUGGACUCGGCGGCCUGGCGGGGCUCAAGCCCAGCUAUCCAUCACUAGCCGCCUAGCGGCUAGCACCCCGGAGCAGGAGCCGCCCCGCCCACCUGGCUCCGCCCAGCCGCUGGCCAGAGCUCAUGCGCGCGGGCUGACGUCAGCACCCCGCCCCCGCCCGAGUCAGACACCCGGGUCCGCUCCGCCUGAGACUGAAGGGCGCCGGGUGUCUGCGGGGGCGGGGGAAGCUUGGGGCUUCACCAGGGGGCCAGCUGCCUGGGGGUCUCUCUCCCUCCACCAGUUCUCCUGGUCCUGGAGGGAGCCAUCCUCCGCAUAAAAUACCUUCCUGAACCGCGAUGUUGCUGCCUGCAGGAUACAACCCAGGCUCUUUAUAGCACUCCUCACACAACUGCCUCUGGACCUACUUUUACAAGAGGGGGUGGGGUACUGAGAGGAGGUAACUGUUCCUUGUGGCACAGGAGGAAUUUGGCCAGGAGGCUGCUCGUCAUGUUACUGGAACUGUGUGGGCUGGGCCAGAUGAGCUUGCUGAGAGUCCCAACAAGGACCUAUCCAGAACCAGAAGGAGCCCCAGAGAGUGGCGGCCCUGGCCUCGCUCACACAGUGUGCACACACAGGCAGUUUUAUACCUCCAGCAUGUUCACGCAAAUAAAUAGCAACCCCA
rnacentral:lncRNA from 1 species